CUAUUGGGAAGGGAUAGCUCAGUCAGUAGAGCCUAAAACUCUUAAUCUCAGAGCCGUGGGUUCAAGCCCCACAUUGGGUGAAAGA